GGCCACCGCUAUUGGAGUUCGAUUAAGCCAUGCGAGUCGAGAGGGUUCGGCCCUCGGCGGACUGCUCAGUAACACGUGGAUAACCUGCCCUCGGGUGGGGGAUAACCCUGGGAAACCGGGAACAAUACCCCAUAGAUCUGGGAUGCUGGAAUGCCCCCAGGUCAAAAGCUCCGGCGCCCGAGGAUGGGUCUGCGGCCUAUCAGGUAGUAGUGAGAGUAACUGCCUCACUAGCCUACGACGGGUACGGGCCUUGGGAGAGGUAGCCCGGAGAUGGACUCUGAGACACGAGUCCAGGCCCUACGGGGCGCAGCAGGCGCGAAAACUUUGCAAUGCGGGCAACCGCGACAAGGGAACUCCAAGUGCCUAUGCACAGCAUAGGCUGUUCGACUGCCUAAAAAGCAGUCGGAGUAAGGGCUGGGUAAGUCCGGUGCCAGCCGCCGCGGUAAUACCGGCAGCCCGAGUGGUGGCCUUUAUUAUUGGGUCUAAAGCGUCCGUAGCCGGUCCUUCAAAUCCCUGGGUAAUCGGGCAGCUCAACUGUCCGACUUCCGGGGAGACUGUGGGACUUGGGACCGGGAGAGGUCGGAGGUACUCCUGGGGUAGGGGUGAAA
rnacentral:rRNA from 1 species